UCUAUGGUGGGCUGGGCAGGGCUACCGCAAGGUAGGCCGGUACUGUGAGUCCGGUAGUGCAAACCCUGUUCAGUUCACCACCCU
rnacentral:antisense_RNA from 1 species